rnacentral:rRNA from 1 species
CGACCGGGACAACAGUUGGAAACGACUGCUAAUACCGGAUAAUAUCGCUGAGUCGCAUGACAUGGCGAGCAAAGGUGGCCUCUGAAUAUGCUACCGCUUAAGGAUGAGCCCGCGUCUGAUUAGCUAGUUGGUGGGGUAAAGGCCUACCAAGGCGACGAUCAGUAGCCGGCCUGAGAGGGUGAUCGGCCACACUGGGACUGAGACACGGCCCAG